GCUGUUCUCGCUUUAGCAGCACAUCAUAAAAUUGGAACAAUAUAAAGAAGAUUAGCAUGGCCCCUGCGCAAGGAUGACAUGCAAAAUUUGUGAAGCAUUCCAUGGAUUC